AGUGAACGCUGGCGGUAGGCCUAACACAUGCAAGUCGAACAGCAGCACAGUAAGAGCUUGCUCUUACGGGUGGCGAGUGGCGGACGGGUGAGGAAUACAUCGGAAUCUGCUUUUUCGUGGGGGAUAACGUAGGGAAACUUACGCUAAUACCGCAUACGACCUACGGGUGAAAGCAGGGGAUCUUCGGACCUUGCGCGAUUGAAUGAGCCGAUGUCGGAUUAGCUAGUUGGCGGGGUAAAGGCCCACCAAGGCGACGAUCCAUAGCUGGUCUGAGAGGAUGAUCAGCCACACUGGAACUGAGACACGGUCCAGACUCCUACGGGAGGCAGCAGUGGGGAAUAUUGGACAAUGGGCGCAAGCCUGAUCCAGCCAUACCGCGUGGGUGAAGAAGGCCUUCGGGUGGUAAAGCCCUUUUGUUGGGAAAGAAAAGCAGCAGGUUAAUACCCCGCUGUUCUGACGGUACCCAAAGAAUAAGCACCGGCUAACUUCGUG
rnacentral:rRNA from 1 species